rnacentral:rRNA from 1 species
AGCGAACGCUGGCGGCAGGCCUAACACAUGCAAGUCGAACGAAGUCUUCGGACUUAGUGGCGGACGGGUGAGUAACACGUGGGAACGUGCCUUUAGGUUCGGAAUAACUCAGGGAAACUUGUGCUAAUACCGAAUGUGCCCUUCGGGGGAAAGAUUUAUCGCCUUUAGAGCGGCCCGCGCCUGAUUAGCUAGUUGGUGAGGUAAAGGCUCACCAAGGCGACGAUCAGUAGCUGGUCUGAGAGGAUGACCAGCCACAUUGGGACUGAGACACGGCCCAAACUCCUACGGGAGGCAGCAGUGGGGAAUCUUGCGCAAUGGGCGAAAGCCUGACGCAGCCAUGCCGCGUGAAUGAUGAAGGUCUUAGGAUUGUAAAAUUCUUUCACCGGGGACGAUAAUGACGGUACCCGGAGAAGAAGCCCCGGCUAACUCCGUGCCAGCAGCCGCCGCGGUAA